GAAAGUUGUUGGUUAUGUGUGUCUCAGUUUUCUUAGUUGCUUUACUUAAGAGAUUCCUCUGGGUUUUUUUUUUCCACUCUUGUGCUCAGUGUACAAAUAAGUUCUCUUUAUCUCACUUACCUCUGCCUCCCUGUGUCUACGUCUGCGUUUGGAUCUUUUCCCCUGGGAUAGUGUCUGCAGGUACUGACUGCAUUGUCACAUUUCAGCUUCUCAGCAAAAUAAAGAAGUCUGAUUUCAUGCUACUAAAUUGACCAAAUUUGACAAGAAUGGAGACCCUCUUGCGAGGUACAACAGUGUUCCGGAACCUGGUCUCCUCUCCUCCUCUUCCAGCAUUUCGGCUCGCAGGACAUUGAGCCGGCUGGCUGCCAAGCAACCCAGGGCAUGUGACUGGUACUGUAUAAGCAUGGCAAGAACUCCAAACAACUUGUUGCCUUGAAAUACUUCUGUAAAUAAAAUUCAUAAUGUUAAUAUUU